CAGUUCAUAAUCAAGCACCUAAGCAAACAUCUAAACUAAAUUCUAAAUUUACACAACUAACACAACUUAUGCAAAAUAAAUCAAAUCUAAACUAAACGCUUCAUCAUCAUCGAGCCAUCCAACAUCUCCCCCUUUUUGUCAGAAAGCGCCAAAAAGACAAAAAGAAGUAAACCCGUAACAUCUAAUCUGAAGCAUCCCCUGGGGGUAAAUCAGCUCUGCAACACCCUAACUUGUCAAAAAUCAUAUUGAGUAAUCACUUCAUCUUGCUCACAUCCUUUCGUAUCGCAGCUUGCUCUGCAGACAGUU
rnacentral:lncRNA from 1 species